rnacentral:lncRNA from 1 species
GUUCUCUGGAAUCCUUCCAAAUUCGCUCGGGAACUCAAAGCGGCAGCAGGGCUGAGAUUCGCCAUGGAGCUUAUUAUGGAAAUCCAUGCAAGCUCUGUCGAAGCCCUUUGGGGGCACGUCGUCUUUCCAUGCAUUGUACUCGGUAAAGGUGGGCAAAACAGUGCUGCUGUGGCCAUUGACGAAUACGAAAGAUCCCUUGCUUAGUACAGCCCAUCCUCCUUCCUUGUCGUAGCUGAGCAGUUUCUUGAUUUCCCGCAGCAUAGGGUCGACAUCGACAGUACUCCCCAGCUGGAUCUUGGAGAACAUCAUGCUUUCCAGUCGGAUCCAGAAGAACCAGACCAUGGCAAGAUCUGGCCAGCAGUAGCUGAGUUUCUCCAAAGUGAUGGCAGUUGUGCAUUUCCGGACUUGCUCUCUUUUCUUGCUGUUUCCCACGUACACCAUCUCUAAGGGGAUUCGAGCAGUCGAUGCAACUGCCCGUGCGGUGGUUGUGAAUUUUCGGAUCCAUUCCAUGUCAGUUCCUCCAUACAAGUAAAUGUAUUUUCCUUCUUUGAUCUGAUCAAGAAAAAAGAAAAAUAUCCCCAAAUAAGUGAAGUCAUUCAUACACAUGUAAAGCUGGGUUUAGAUUAGUAAAGGUGCAUUACCCAGUUCAGUAUGGUUGGGUCAAUACCAUCCACCAGCAGCUCAAGCUUCCAACUCUCUUCCCUCCACAGAGCUUCCUCUCUCAAACUGGUGAACGGGAAGGCGGUACUCCCCCAUAUCCACAUCAUGUGGAUUGCAUUAGGGCUCACCACUUUUCCUUGUGGAUCUAGCACCACAAGGAUGGGCUUGUUCCGGAAGUGCCACACCUCCUUGAUGAACCUGAUGACUGCCCUAUCAAUCUGUGUAGGAGUGUAGACUGAAUACCAUGGCAUUGUGGCCUGCAGAGUCUCAAACCGAUUUUGCAUGGCAUCUGUCCACACGACUGAGCGGUCCACAACUGGGAUCCACACAACUUCGUACUGAUACUCCAUCCUAUUCCCGUGGACUCGAGACUCAUUAUAGAUCUGUUCCAGAACUGAAAGCUCGUCUUGGGAGAUUGAUAGACCUGAUAAAAGCAGCAAAACAUUCUUCCUCCUCAGCACAUCUAUGUUAACCUGCGGCAUUAAAGUUAGUACUUUAGGUUAGUAGUCACGAAGGGGAAAAAGAAAAUGCACAUUGGAACUUUUAAGUCGUGGUAAUAAUUUUUUUUAUAUAUGAUAGUUUCAUGGAAUAGUGCUACUGCCAAUGCAGUAAUGCAGUGAUGUGUUUGGAGAGUGAACCCUUCUCUUUGUAGAGCCUUCAAGCAGUGGCAGCACAUCGUCCUUGGGAGAAAUCAGUGCCCUGAGAAUCUUCAUGUUGUCAAUAUGAAGACUCUCAAAGAGAUUCAGAAGAGUUUGAAAAGCUUCAGCACUCCUCUUAUCAUCUGCAUCAAACAGCAAUCUCUUGUCAGAUUUAAAAUCCAUUUAAUUGUUAUUUACAUUAGCUGUGCAACACUUGCUUCCAUAAAUUUGGAAAGGGUUGGUGGUCUUACCUAUGUAUUGGUGACAAAGAGUAAGUUGCUUCUUCAGAAGGUCCAGUAUGCUAUUGAUCUUGUGAGCCAAGGUGGACAGUUCCCAUGCCUCAUUUGUAGCAGAUAUCCAGUACCUAAAAUCAUUGCAAUUGUCUUAAGUAAAAUGAUUGUUGCCUAACCAGCAUUCCCAACGGAUCAAGUGGCAUAUCAUAUAAUUCUUUCACAAAAUCAGAGGCAUUUAUUUUUUAUCUUUGGAAAAUUAGCAAAUGGAAAAGAUAUUUAGUUGGCAGUACGUUGCUUUACUAAAGGUUGAAAGAUUGAAGCAUGAUAUAUCCGAAAAGAGAAUAUAACAUACUCAUGGCCCAUGCUAGUGAGGGUUGUAAUCUGAGUUGCGCAAGCCACAACACUCCUGAUGGUCCAGUAAACAGCAGUGGGGAUAUGGGUCAAUGCUGUUGCUAAUGCUGAUACAUCCUGGCUAAUGUACAUGGGGGGGAGCUCCUUGAACUCAAUAAUGCACCUGGUAAUUGCCACCAUAGCCUUGAUGAGAUUGUUAAGAGCAUCAAACCGUGGUUUCAGCAGACCAGAGUACUCCAAGACGAUGGGCACUUGCUUAAGGAUUGCCAUUGAUUUCGCAAGUUGGUUGGAUGAGGAGAUCUGAGCAAGGAGCCAGAAUUCACCAUAGGUCACAGCAAAAGCUGAUAGGGUUAGCACCAGCUUUGCUUCCCAUGAAUAGCUUGUUAACAGGUCGAAUAUAGAGAGUGUUGUUGCAUGAGCGUCACCUCCGCCCAAACUCUUGUAUGCUAUCUGAAUACAUAAUUGAUUGACCACAUGUCAAUGUAAACAAACAAAUAAAACGUAGUCAUGCCAUGUGUAUAAUGCAUACGAGAUACGAGUUUUCUGUAUGCCAUUCUAAGAAAUGAAUUUUUGCAGUAGUUCUUUGUAAUAACCUGGCAGGCAAUUCGAUCAAUGGUAAAUGACAGUGCUUCGAGCAAAGCAAUGAAACUGGCUUGAUGAGUCCUAUCAUCAGAAGUUUCAAUGCGUGUUUGGGCAUCCUGCAAUGAAAUCACAAGUGGAUUAGCUACUAUAAAUGCAUAGAAAAUUUGUAUCUGCAUACCCUUUCGUCCAAGUAUCCUUCAGUAAUUAGGACUGUCAAUUGCAUGCUCUCACCUAACACAAGAAAAUAAAAUGUGGAGGUUCUGAUGUUCUUGAACUAAAUGAUUCCACCCCAUAAAAGCAGCUCAAGGAUUUGGAAAAAGAAGAGUGUUAUUGUGAAGGAGUUGAAAUUUUGAAAUAGAUUUUAUCUUCACAACAUAUAAUAGGAAAAAAGUAGACUUCCGGCAGUAAAAAGUUUGUUAUUCUGAAAAUAUUUUAGAUGUAGAUAAGUGACUAUAUGGCGUCAAACUUUCUAGUGUUGAUUUUGUGGAGAUAACAUGGGAGUUGGCUAGUUAGUGUGAUAUUGUGCUGGCUAGGAAUCCUUGGUUGGUAUAUGCAUUUACUUUUGUUUUGGCUAUCGAAAAAAAUGAACAAGGUCAAGAUAUUAAAAGCAGCCUGAACAAAAGAAACUGGCAAAAACAUUAGGCCUUUACUAAAUAAGAGGUUAUAGUAGUGUUAUACCGAAAUUAAGGGAUCAACACCCGGUGUAGCCCGAUUCAGGAUGUCUUCCACGAGUUGGAAAAGAGGCUUAACAUCAAACUCUCGGCCAUCAGGAGCAUGGGUUGCGUGAAUUUGUUUCAUCAUGAUGUUGUCAUCAGACAUGGUUAUCAUGCUCCUAUCAUGCCUGGUCAGUUGAUGUAAGGGAACUGGGUUGAUCUUGGUGGUUACUUCGUGCUGCAUUGGAGUUGGGUUGAUCACCUGCCGCGAACCUGGGUUCGCUUGCUGCAUUGAUGAUGGUUUCAUCAGUUGCUGCGUUGGAGUCGGGUCGAUCACUUGCGGCAUUGGAUUUGGGUUACUGAGUUUGUUGGUAGUCUCCAUUUUGUGUAUGCAAAGGAAGGCAAGUAACUAAGAUUUGAGGCAGAACGGAAGAGGAGAAGAUGGCUUGUGUUCCUUUUGCAGACUGCUUGCCCUUUAUAUACCCUUCACAAACGAAUAAAGCGAGCCUCACUGAAUCAACUUCUUUACUUCCUCCAUAAUUAAAAUUCAAAAACUUUGGACCAAGAUUUGCUUUCGUGACGCAUCUUCUUGUUUCUCGAUUUUAUUCUUUUGGGUGGUCCCGAAAGCAGCAGUUACUUCUGAAUCAAGAGAGAGCUCUGGGUCCCGCGAAUUUGGCACCAGAGAAUUUUCUUAUUCCUUGUAGAAUUCUUCAUCAAAACAUACAAACUGCGAACGCAACAACAAAAAUUCAAAACCUUGACGGUCUCAUUCUAUGGUGCUUUGAUAGAUCCACUUUAUACGGGGGCUUAUAGGAGUAUAGAAAUAAUAUUAUUUAUCUAUAUAAUUAAAAUUUUAUAUUAUGUUUGUAUAGAUGAAAAUUUAUUAAUUUGGUUUUUAUUUUCUCUUUUAAAAUUAUAGUUUUCAAUCAAUAAGAGAUUAAUAAUUUGUGUUUAUAAGAGUUGCUACACAAGUAAGAAAAUAAAAACUUAUGUAGAUUUAAUUUAUUUAUUUAUAAGUUAUCUUUAUUGUAGAAUAAUUUUUUUUUUUCAAAGGGAGAAGUAUGAAAUUCCAACAUGCAUGAGAAAAGAUGUUGGCGUGAUUUAAACUAUUAAGAAUUAAAGAUUUUAUUUUCUCUAUUUUUCUUAUGACUAUAUAUAUGUAUAAGCAAAAUCCAAAAAAGAAAUAUUAAAAAAAGUUAUUGAUAAAAGGGAUUAAUAGAUGAACAAUGUGAUUUUUUUCUAUAGUUUUUUUCUCUUCUUAUUUUUUAUUUUUUUUAUUUUUUUAUCUUGUUACAUUUAAAAAAAUAAUAUGAGAAAAUUUUAUAGUAGUUUCCCAAGUGUUGAGUUAGGUAAAUUAGUUCUUUUGUAAAUGUCAUUAGCCUAUGCUAAUUGAUUAAUCAUGAUAUUGCCUUUGCGAAACAAUUGCAUUUUUCCUACUUUAUGUUGUGAGUGUUAUUAUCCUUUGCCAAAUGACUUUUUUUUUUUGGCUUGAUGGCUCUUACAUUUUGGAACUCUUGAUGCAUGAAUUUCAUUCAUUCAUUUUGGUCAUCAUUGCUAAAAAUUUCAUCUUUCUUAGUUGAGUUCAUGACACCUAUUGUGAAUGUUAGUAUCUUUUAGUUUAGUCAAUACUUGGUUUAAUUUUAUCUUGAAUGAUCUAAACUACUUUUUAAAUGAAACAUAUGUAAUAAUUAGUAUGUAUAUCAUGAUAUUGAUUUAGAAAAAAAAAUGUAGUAAUAAUAUUUCUGAAUUUUCUAAUGUUAAAAAAGUUAAAGUACUAUCUAUGUUUUUCUUUGUAUGAUAGGGGCCUUAAAUCAAUUAAAGAUCUUGGUUAUUUCUCAAUGAUAAACAAUAUGUUUUUUCACAUGAAUUUUAUGUUAAUUAGCUUUUUGGAGGUUUAAGUUGAAACUAUUUUUCAUAAAACUUAUAUUUUGUCUAAAUUUUAGGGUAUUUGACAUUGAUAAUUGAAUCAAGUGACCUUUUGACCUUCAUUUUGAUGACUGUUUUAGGGUAUUCAAUCACACAAUAGAUUAGUUUAUUAUUUGUCUGAUUAUAAUUUCUUGUUGAACAAACUUAAAUAGCAUAUGCAGAAAACUGUGGUAGUACAUCGUAGGUGGAAGCUUUAAGAUAUAGCUUUAAGAUAUGUUCUUUUCUUGUUCAUAUGUUCCUCAAUAUUUUUUCUUUUAAUUUAUUGUAUUUUUAAUUUUUGUAUUCUAAUACCAAAAGAAUAGAGGCUUUUACUAGAGCUCAACCUCCAAGGAUGCCUAUGCACUUCUCCAGGAGGAAGUAUAACGAGUUGCAUCAAAGGAAUACUUUAUGUCUUAAGAUUCGAACAUAUGAUGUUUAUUAUGUAAACAAAACUGAUAAUCCUCAAGUAAUAUCAUUUUAAUGAGGCUAAAUGCAUUCUUCUAUUUCGACAUUAGCAUAUGAUGAUUAUAAUACCUUUUUCAAUCAGAUUUUGAGCCAACCUUUGGAAAAUCGAAUGUUUGCCCUUCGCUCUAGUUUUUGGUACUUAUAUGGUCAUUAUAGUGCUACUCUCCGAGUUCCAAUUGAAAGUUGAAGUCGCAAGGGAAGUGUUCAAAGUAACGAGAUUCUAUAAGCCAUGAAAUUAAGAGUGAGGAUCACCUCAUAGAAUCCACACCUAAUUAGCACUCUCGUGGAUGAGUGUGCAAAAAAACAAACAUGCACGAAAUUUGUCUAGAAAAAUUAGCAUCCCUAUAGCACUAGUGUAGAGUAAGAUAUAGAAAUUGGCAUCCUUUCCGAAGAUGUAUAGACUGCUUUGCCGAUUUCCAAUAUUUUUAGUUGUUGGGUAUAUUCAAAGCUCUAAAAAUUUAUCACCUCACCUAGUAUUGUUGAGCUUGUGACUAGGGAUAUAAGUACCUAUAUUGCAACUAAAAAACUUAACUCUUCUAUUUUAGAGGCCCUUUUUUUCCAUUCUCUAUUCAAGGGUUUAGAUUUCUUCAUUCAUUCUUUUUGUUUUAGCUUGAAUUAGUUUAGAAUUUAGCUUGAAUUUAGAUUUGUAUAUAUUCCAUCGUUCUUGCACAUUAUUUUUGUGUGUUUCUUUACAUUUCCUCUAUGCAUUUUGGCACUUCAAUAUUUUUGUUUAUGGAUAUAUUAAUGUUUAUCAAGUUUGAUUAGUUUUGUUGUACUAGGAAGAUGGCUCUUUGAUGGGUGAACUGUCAUGGUUGUUUUACACCAAACUAAUUUAGGUUUUGAUAAACAUCGAGAAAUUUCUUUCACUACAUGAUUUUGAGGAAGUUUAGAGGCAUUAUCUAUUAGUGUGCAAAAGUCACCUAAAUUAUGGUGAUGUCAAAUGCUAUAAAAGAUUAAUUUGACAUACUCUUAGAUAAAAUGGUCAAACCCAAUCCAAGAUUUUCAUAUUUUUCAUGCUUCAUAAUGACCUAAUUUUGUGCUAACUUGAUAUCCUCAACUUAUUUGAUGCUUUGUAGUGCUAGAUAAUCCUUUUGUAAGUGUUUCGAGAGAAUAAAAAAGAAUAUUGUACAUUACCUAGGAAAAUAGCAUAGAAGGGUUGCAAUGCAAAUUUGCUUUCCAUGAGAGAAGACCAUCUGAGCAGUAGUGUGAUGAACCAAGAAUUCAACUAAAAUAAUCAAUCAUAUGAUGGAAAAUUCUUAUGAAUUUUUCUAAAAAAACUAAGCAAUCAAAAGAGUUGAAUUCAAAAUAUUCAAACUAUCAACUUCUAUCACUUCUAACUCUUUUAAUUUUUCUAUCAAAUCGGUUUUCUACUUUGAGAAAAUAUUUAAUAUUUUUCAAUAAGUAAAUGUGAGUAUAAUUUGUAAAAUCAUUGAUAAAAGGGAUGAAAUAUUUGUUUCCUCCAUAAGUUAAAAUCACAUAAAUUUGUAUGUAUCAACCUAACAAUUUUAUUGUCUUCUUAACACUUUUAAGAUGCCUUUUUUUUUUUGGUGAUUUUGGUCAUAGAAAAUGUCUCAUAUUUUUUGAAGUCCUUUUUUGACAUUAAGAAUUAAUUCCAAACUAUUCAUGUUUCUCUUAAAUUUUCUACUUAUAUCAGGAAAUACGGGUAUGACAAACAUUUAAAGAAAAACACAUACAAACAAAACUAGAAGAUGUUUUAUUUUCGAUAUUCAAUUUAAACAUUUCAUCGUAAGCAUUACCAUUGCCUACAAAAAUCUCCCUGGUUAGAUUUCAUUGUUUGCUUAAACUUGGUUGAUUAAGUUAAUAUAAGAUUCUUGAUUAUGGAAUGAGUACAAACAUAAUGUUUAAAGGUCACAUCCUUCUAGAGGUGAAUUUUAACUUAACCUUACAGCUUCCAAAUAUUUGAGUAGUGUGUGAAUCAUUGAUCAUGAUUGUCUUAGGCUCCUUAAAAGAAGUGUAUACCUUGAACUAACCUAUCAAAUGGUAGACAUACCUAUUAGUACCAGAUUCUACCCUUAAAUCCUUCAACACUUUGAAACAUUUUAGUAAUCAUAGUCAUAAAUGACUCCUUAGUUGUUGAAAAGAUAGAAAGAAAUCCUUGAUAAGAAAGGGUUCAUCCUUGAUAAUCAUUAUGGACAAGUGUGAAUAAAGUUUCUAAGGACAUUUCCUUAUGUUUAUGGCACACAUUUUCCUCAAAUUCCUUCCAUAAUGGUGGUAAUUUGUAAAUGAUACAAAGAAAAUAAGGCUGCCACCAAUUUUGAUUAUUCCUUUAGAAAUGGAUUCAGAAAAUAAGAGUACUACUAUUCAGAAGUCUUGAACUUUAGUUUACAAUGGAUUUCCCUCCAAACAUCUAAUUAUGGAAAAGUUGACUAAUACUUAUUUACUUAUUUGCACUUGCUUUAAUGAUGUUGUUUCCACUUGCAAGGCUUUCCAAUUUUUUUCAAAGGAAAAUAGGUAGUGUCAUAAUAAUCAUAAAAAUGUUCAUCAAAACACAAUCCAAGAGAUAAUAUCAACAAUCACAUUCAUCUUUUUCAUAUCUCUCAAUCUCUAUUUCUUGCUCAUAGAGCUCAUCUUUAUUCCUAGAAUUAGUAGGGAUUACUUUUUGUGUUGUUCUUAGUAAGUGACUGAGAAGAUUGAGAUAGAACUUUUCUUUCUCACUUCACGUACUCCUUUGAAACAAAAAGGCCUUUUGAGAUCUCCAAUAUUCACAUAGAUUUUUGUAUUAAUGGGUUCCAAUUUUCUUACUUUCCUUAAAAUUGUUGCUAUAGGACUUUCAAAUAAUAAUAAAAAUACAAUAACAUUAAUUGAGUAGUAUACAGGAACAAUUUGGUUAAGAGAACAAAAAUCGUGAUUUCUCUAAAGAGAUUCAAAAUCUCAAUGAUUUGAUAAUUAAUGUUAGAAAUGCAUUACUAAAUUUUCUUAUCUUUUCUAAGAUAUAACAACCCAAUCUAAUCGGUGUAUAGCUGAGACUUAUUUACAUAUAUGGCAAAUCUUAAAGCUCCAUAAAAGCAAAAUCCUUCUUUGGCCAAGAAAAUAUUAAGAAGAAAAAAGAACAAAAAUGAAAUGCUUAUGAUACUUUUAUGAAAUGUUGAAGACUAGUUAUAAGUAAAUUAUGCCAAUCAAACUAUAAGAGAAAUGAUAAAAUUUCCUGUGGGGUGAAUCAAAAGUCUAUGUAAAGUAUUGAAACCUCUCAGUAACUCAUCAUGACAUUCAAUCUUUCUUAUUUUAGUUUUUACACAAGCAAGGAAUCAAAUUUUAAUUUUAGUUGAAGUCUAGUUCAAAUCUUAAUUGAUUAUUUUUAAGUUUAAUCUACAUAAAACAUUCCAAAUAUUCUUAUUUAAUUUUAUUUCUUAGCUACAUUUUAGCCUUAAAUUCUGAUGGUCCAUCAUAACCCAGAACUAUUCACUAAUUAAGAGUUAGGUCUUCUAGUGAGAGCCAUAGUUGCAAUUUUCAUGCUCACUCCUUGCUCUAAGUUGCUCUUUCCCAAAGAACCCACCCCCAGAAAAAUAUCGCUUGUUGGCUGUAGUUUCAACCUAAAACAAAGAAGGGAUAUUGAAAGAAAAUUGAAAAGUAACACCUAGAAACAAGGGAGUAAAAUAGUUCACCAAAAAAUAUUGGGUUUUAGAGGUUAUUGAGAUGGAGGUGUGUGCUUUUUCCGUUUCUUGCCAAUUUAUGAGCUAUGAGGAUAAUUUUGUAUUAAUUUUUACUAAGGAGGAUGGGCCUUUUCUUAGGGGGUAGAGAGAGGACUUUUGGGAAGAAUUGACUGACAUUAGAGGGUUUUGGACUGAUCCUUGGUGUGUCCAUGAAGGUGUCAAUAUGCUAAGAUUUUGAGGGAAAAAGAGGAAUUGUCCCAAGUGUUCAUCUACCAUGAGGUGUUUCUUGGACAUAACUAAGGAGAUUAAUUUGCAUGAUCUAACUCUAAUUAGAGGACCCUGUGCUUGGUGAGGAGGUAUAAAUAAUCAUUUUGCUUCAAGAUUAGAUUGGUUCCUUGCUUUGAAAGAUUAGAAUAGUCAUUUUGGUGAUAUUUUACUGAGCAUUCUAGUUGGAUCAAUGUUUGAUCUUGCCCCAAUUUUGUUAGAUGGAGAUGGGAAAAGGGGGAACAAAACUCAUUUUAGGUUUGAAAAUAUGUGCCUUAGAGCAAAAGCUUCAGAGAGUAAAUUAAUUUUGUUGUAGAACUCUUAGUAAUUGAAAAUAUGUUCGAAAAUAUGAAUUUCGAACUAUAAUCUCAUAUUUGAAUAUAAAUAAUUAGUUAUAACUAUUUAAUGGGGAAUCUAAAUGUUAUUCAAUAUCCCCUAUUUUCUAUUUAAUUCAUAUAUUUCUUUCUCUCUAUUUCUAGAAGUAUUCACUUAUAUAUAUUUUUUCUGAAAUUGUAAUUGAUUUUAGUUUUUUGUGCAUGUAGGCCAGCUUUUUGUGAAAUUAACCUUGUAGUUGGAUAAGCUAGCAUGAAGGAGUAUGUUAAAGACCAAAGCACAAUUGGGUUGCAUGUAAAGAAAUGGGUUGCAUGUAAAGAAAAAAUGAACUAUGUUAAGGAACUAAACAUUAAAGUUAUGAUUUUUUUUUUAAAUAUAUUUUAGCUUUUUUGUGUUUCUUAUUUAUGAAAUACAAGUUCUCUAUUUGUGAUUAAAUACUGCAAUUUGGAAAUGUAUUACCAGGUGAAAAAUUAGGUGCAACAACUAAUUUCAUUGGUACAUAAUUUUUUUUCUUAUGUGUAUGCAUUAUUUCAAUAGAAGGUGAAAAAUUAGGUGCAACAAUUAUUAAAUUAAAAUUAAAAAAUUUUCUUCCUUGAUGCUUUUACUAAGUGUCAAGGAAUGAGAGUAACCACCAGUAACAUUUAUACAAUCCAAUAAUGGCACUAAUAAAUAUGUCAAUGUAGUGUGAACAACUAACAAUGACACUUUUUAAGUGUCAAGGUUCUCUUUAGUGGUGCUUUCUAAAAGUGUCCUUAUAGUUCGAUAUUUGAAACUGCUAAACAAUGGCACUUAUAGAAAGUGUCAAGGUUUCUUCUACUCAACAAUGGCGCUUAUAAAAGUGUCAAUGUAGUUUGAUAUAACCAAUUAUGACACUUUUUUAAAGCGUCCAGGUUCUCUUUAAUGACACUUUCUAGAAGCGUCAUUAUAGGCAAAUACUUAUUAUAACAGGCUAGUAGAUGACGCUUUGGGGAAGCGCCAUUGAAUAUAUUUCUUGACACUUAAAAAACGUCAUGGUUAACAUUUUGUCUUAUAGUGAAUUAAAUGUAGUAAUAAAGAGGAUGUGUGGAAAGGUGGGUUUCAUGCACAAAUUUAAAAAAAAAAUACAUAAAAUGAAAACCUUUAAAAAUAAUUCAAAUUUUAUGUAUUUUCAAGUCAAAAAUACUUAUGAUGAUCAAAAUUAAUCAGUACCCACUUUGUUUCUAGAUGGUCAAAUAAUUAAUUAACGUUACAAAUAAGAUAAUACUUUUGAUCAAAAGGUGUACAAAAUCCUAAUUAUCUUUGGGUAAUUAGUGUAUUAAAUUUAAAUUUUACAAAUUCUUUGUAUAAAAACAAACUUUUUCCCUUUAUCUGAAUCUAUUCUAUAUUCCAACAUUUCAAACAUGGGGAAUCAUAAUAUUGUGAGUUAUAUAUGAACGUAUUAUUGGUCUUCAGUUUCGGUUCUGAAUUUUAUAGUGACAACUACGUGGGAACACAUAAGCCUGAUCAAAACAAGGAUAAUAUUUAAAGGAAACUCCAACAUCUAAUAGUAAUAACGACAUGGAGUAUACAAGGUGCUUCCUUCCACAUCAUCUGGAUGCAACGAGACAAUAAAAUCUUAUUACAUCACACGGAAAAACAGGAAGGGGAAAACAAAGAAAACAAAACAAAUAAACACACGCAUGGAAUUAUUUCAGUAACAGGCAACAUGCAUACAUCAUAUGCAAAACAGAAGUAGAGGCUUAGUAGAGUGCGCUUAUGGCGUUCUCGUCAUGGCAGCACCCAAAAGUGAUGUACUUCUCCAUGAUGCGGAGGCACUCUGGGCACUUGAUGUUCUCCGGAAUCCUUCCAACUUCGCUAGGGAACUCAAAACGGCAGCAGGGCCGAGAAUCGCUAUGAAGCUUACUAUGGAAAUCCAUGUAAGCUAUGUCGAAGCCCUUUGGGGGCACGUCGUCUUUCCAUGCAUUGUACUCGGUAAAGGUGAGCAAAACAGUGCUGCUGUGGCCAUUGACGAAUACAAAAGAUCCAUUGCUGAGUACAGCCCAUCCUCCUUCCUUGUCGUAGCUGAUCAGUUUCUUGAUUUCCCGCAGCAUAGGGUCGACAUCGACAGUACUACCUAGCUGGAUCUUGGAGAAC